CGAUAAGGGUCCGGUUACAAACUGCCUCACAGAUAUGAUGCUGGUUGCAAACUGCCUCUCAGAUAAGGGGCUUGUUGCAAAUUGCCACUCAGAUAAGGGUCCGGUUGCAACCUGCCACUCAGAUAAGGGUCCGGUUGCAAACUGCCACUAAGAUAAGGUGCUGGUUGCAAACUGUCACUAAGAUAAGGGUCCGGAUGCAAACUGCCACUCAGAUAAGGGGCUGGCUGCAAAUUGCCGCUCAGAUAAGGGUCCAGUUGCAAACUGCCACUCAGAUAAGGGUCUGGAUGCAAACUGCCACUCAGAUAAGGGUCCGGAUGCAAACUGCCACUCAGAUAAGGGUCCGGUUGCAAACUGCCACUAAGAUAAGGGUCCACUUGCAAACUGCCACUCAGAUAAGGUGCUGGUCGCAAAAUGCCGCUCAGAUAAGGGUCCAGUUGCAAAGUGCCACUUAGAUAAGGGGCUGGGUGCAAACUGCCACUGAUAAAAGGAUCCGGUUGGAAACUGCCACUCAGAUAAGGGUCCGGAUGCAAACUGCCCUUCAGAUAAGGUGAUGGUUGCAAACUGCCUCUCAGAUAAGGGUCCGGAUGCAAACUGCCACACAGAUAUGAUGCCUGUUGCAAACUGCCACUCAAAUAAAGGGCUUGUUGCAAAUUGCCACUCAGAUAAGGGUCCGGUUGCAACCUGCCACUCAGAUAAGGUACUGGUUGCAAACUGCCACUCAGAUAAGAGUCCGGAUGCAAACUGCCUCUCAGAUAAGGGUCCAGUUGCAAACUGCCACUCAGAUAAGGGUCCGGUUGCAAACUGCCACUCAGAUAGGGGUCCGGUUGCAAACUGCCUCUCAGAUGAGGGUCCGGUUACAAACUGCCACUCAGAUAAGGGUCCGGUUGCAAACUGCUACUCAGAUAAGGUGCUGGUUGCAAACUGCCGCUCAGAUGAGGUGCUGGUUGCAAACUGCCUCUCAGAUAAGGGUCCAGUUGCAAACUGCCACUCAGAUAAGGGUCCGGUUGCAAACUGCCGCUCAGAUAGGGGUCCGGUUGCAAACUGCCACUCAGAUAAGGUGCUGGUUGCAAACUGCCACUCAGAUAAGGGUCUGGUUGCAAACUGCCACUCAGAUAGGGGUCCGGUUGCAAACUGCCACUCAGAUAAGUUUCCGGUUGCAAACUGCCUCUCAGAUAGGGUCCGGUUGCAAACUGCCACUCAGAUAAGGUGCUGGUUGCAAACUGCCACUCAGAUAAGGGUCUGGUUGCAAACUGCCACUCAGAUAGGGGUCCGGUUGCACACUGCCACUCAGAUAAGGUGCUGGUUGCAAACUGCCACUCAGAUGAGGUGCUGGUUGUAAACUGCCACUCAGAUAAGGGUCUGGUUGCAAACUGCCUCUCAGAUGAGGGUCCGGUUACAAACUGCCACUCAGAUAAGGGUCCGGUUGCAAACUGCCACUCAGAUAAAAGGGGUCGGUUGCAAACUGCCACUCAGAUAAAAGGGGUCGGUUACAACAGGCACUAGCGAUGGUCCAGACUCGUCUGCACUAAUGACAUUUGAGUCCCUCUGUCAUCUUACAUCUUGAUGUACAUCAUUAGCGUCAGAGGCGUCACUGGUGUAGGAAACGUCAGCUUCGACGUUGGGAUAGUCGACGUCGGGCUACUGUCAUGUUUUCUGGCAAACCGAGGUUCCAUUUCGCCUUCCGUAUGCGAAGUAAUCAGGUUUGGACACGUCCUAUAUAUAGAUCGUUUUAGGCGGUUGGCCAUUAAUGGUUCGGGGUGGUAUCUCAUAGACUUGCCGAACUGUGGUCCAUACUGCCCAUGGCAGCGUCACAGAUGAAUACCAUGAGAACAUUGUGGUGCCAUUUGCACAGGGUGUUGGAUAACGUCAUGGCAGACGUGUGCGUCAACGUUAAAAUCCACCUACCACUUUCAAUAAACUCGGUAGUGCUUUCACCAAUGAGUGGAAAAACAUGAGUAAGUGUGCCACUGGUGGACUAAUCCGAAGCAUGCCUUCAACAAUUUGCGAUUGUCUGGCUAACGAAAGUGUUUUCAGUGACAAUGACUUAAAAAUGCAAAUUCCUAAUUAGACCAGCGACCUCUUUAACGG
rnacentral:lncRNA from 1 species